GUGACACUGCAGGAAAUGAAAAUGAGCACAACUAAAUGACAAAGAAAAGUCAGAAUGGAUGAUUCUUUCUCUUUUGCCAGUUGUCUUUCUAUGAGCUAUGGCUGUGAGUAUUUCCUUUUUUCAGUAAGCUGCUGAAAUAUUUGCACUUUGAAUUGGAGCCUGGGCUUUCAUUCCGAGCUCAGGACGAUGGCAAUCAGUGUUUUUGUUCCAAGGAUGAGAUCAUUCAUUAUUUAAAAUUGGACCACUCCUGCACUCUGCGGGAUUUUGAGUUUCUAAUCACUACUGCUACCUGAAGCCCCGCCU